CUCCUCUCCUUUCACCCUCUCUGCUCUACUCCCCAUAUCCACUGUUACCGUGUCUCCCACCCCAUCCAGCCACCUAGCCUCCAGCACCAUUGCAUUUCCGUCCACGCCCAGGACCACGGCCAGCACCCACACCGCCCCUGCCUUCUCCUCUCAGUCCACCACCUCGCGGUCCACUUCUCUCACCACCCGAGUUCCCACAUCAGGCUUUGUGUCACUCACCUCGGGGGUGACGGGUAUCCCCACCUCUCCAGUCACCAACCUUACCACCAGGCACCCUGGUCCCACCUUGUCGCCUACCACACGGUUCCUGACCAGCUCCCUCACUGCCCAUGGAAGCACCCCUGCUUCUGCCCCGGUAUCUUCUCUCGGGACACCUACGCCCACCUCACCCGGUGAGUCCACAGGUGGGAGGCCUGCCCCACGUCCACCAAGGUGCUCACAACCCCACCCCAGAGAGGUUCGGGCACCCCACCCAGGCGCCUGCUGCCCCAUCAGCUUCAACAUCAUCACCCAGCAGGUGGAUGCCCGCUGCAGCUGCUGCCGCCCCCUCCACUCCUAUGAGCAGCAGCUGGAGCUGCCCUGCCCCGAUCCCAGCACGCCUGGCCGGCGGCUCGUACUCACCCUGCAGGUGUUCAGCCACUGCGUGUGCAGCUCUG
rnacentral:misc_RNA from 1 species